AAAAGAGGAGAGGAGGAUGUUCCAGAUUCAGACAGAUUGGGAUUUGUUUCUUUUCAACAACCGUUUUGAGAUUAAUUGGGUUUUUUUUAAAUGAAAAAAUGACAAUUCAGUGGAAAGGAUGAUGAUGAUGAUGAUGAUGAUUCUUUAGCAAUUGUAGCGCCGUCAUGUGUUUUUUUUUUGAUCGACUGUUAUUGACCUGGGGUCACAGCGAGGAGAAAAGUACUUUUUUCCUGUCAGUUGUGUUUUGUCUGGGAUGAAUAUGGAGAGAGGUCUGUUUUGUGUCUUAGAUUGUUUGGCUAUGCCUCCGAUAUCGCUUCAUCCCCCAACCUUAACCAUGAGGAUGGAAAUGCUGAACUGAACUUAGGUCCGUGUCUAGGAAGCAACUGUGAACGACAGCUCUGUUUGUGUGUGUAGAAGACGCUGUGUUGACAGGCUGUACUUUGUCACCGCCCCCUCACACUUGCGUGAGAGUGGAACAAAGCACUGUACACAACACAACAGCUUUGUUUUUUAUGAAUUGUCUGGACUUUUUCCAAUAAAAAAUGCGUAUUUUCACUAACCCUUAAUCUAACCUUAACCCCUAACCUUAACAGUAAAACUAACCCUUAAGCCUAAAAUAGGUUUUUAACAAAUUCAGGACAUGAAAAAUGUGUGUUCUUGUUUUCUUCCUUGUCAGGACGUUCUGGUGGCUGGUCAGGACGUUCUGGUGACUGGUCAGGAUGUUCUGGUGACUGGUCAGGACGUUCUGGUGACUGGUCAGGACGUUCUGGUGACUGGUCAGGACAAGCAAACCUGUCAGAGCAGCUCUUAACACAUUACAGCGCCAGACAGACAGGCGGGACCAGGGGGUGAAAAAAACAUUAUUAAUUGAAGUUUGUUAUGUCACAAUAACACGGCCACUACAGGUUCCUUUAUUUUGGUUGACAUCAGGGCCUACCUAGCAACCGCCCACACACUGCACAGCAAAUCACAGGUAGACAAUACAGAGAUAUGUAGGAACAGAAUAGGGUCGAAUGGUGUUUUGGUUUGAAAAUGUAGACUGUCACUCUGUGUGGAGACGUACCUGUACCUGUAAAGGGGGGGUAUUGUGUGUUGGGUUGGUCUGUGUG
rnacentral:lncRNA from 1 species